rnacentral:lncRNA from 1 species
AUUUUGUGUUUGAUCUGUUGUGUGUAUAGGAAACAAGGAUCAAAAAUUAAACUAGUUGCUUGAAAGUUCCUUCUUGAAAAUGCAGGUUUAAGUUUAAGUUUGUGAAAUGCUAGAGUGGGAAGAAGAGCUUUUAUUAGUGACUGAGAUUUUUUUCAAGGUUUAAGUUUAAUUUGUGAAUUAUAUUUAUGAAUUUUCUGCAAUUUUGUCAAUGGAAUACAAACAAGAUACAAGUAUCAGAUGCAUAUUGUAUGACAUAGGUGGAAGUUGAAGCACUUGUAAUUCAAGGACCAAAACUUGCCAAUGUGAUGAGCCAAGUUAAGAAACUAGGCCAAAAGAAGCUAUCUUCUUUCUUUAUCUGGUAAAAGCUUAUCAUCCAAAACACCUUCAAUUUACGUCAUUUUGUCCAUGAGAUCUUGAGCUAUGAUCUUAUAAAAUGAAUAUUAAUGUCACUAUAAUUAAUGUUUUUUUCCUAAUCAGGUGGCAGAAGAACUUCUNNNNNNNNNNNNNNNNNNNNNNNNNNNNNNNNNNNNNNNNNNNNNNNUUACUAAUGUAAUAAGUCUGUGAUUUUAGGCACUAUCUAGGAUGUUAAUAGCGGUGCUAUAGCGCGCUAUAGCGCUAUAGCGUAGCGUUUUACCACCUCUCUGCUAUGCUAUAAGACUGCUUUCCGCUAUUUAGAGAAGCGGAAAUAGCGGCCGCUAUUUGCAGGAAAAUAGCGUUUUGUUAGCGGUGGCGUAGCGUUUUGGUAGCGCUAUUUGGCCGCUUUAGCGUUUUGGAGGAAAAAAAAUUGAUGAAAAUCUUUAUUUUGGAAAUAAAUCAUAAGUGAGGGGUAUUUUGCACUUUUCUACACAUCAAAAAGCUACCAACACAUCACAACACGUGAUUUACUUUUCUAUUUGAGUUGUUUCUUCUUUCUUUUCUCACAUCACGCUCUUCUCCUCUGCUCCUUCAACGGACUCCUUCACCAAAUCACCUCUUCUCCUUCAACAUCUCCUUCACCAAAUCGACUCCUCUAUUUCCUUUCUCCAAAUCAACUGCUCUUCUCCUCUUCUUACAAGGUUUGUUCCUUUCUCAAACCUUA